rnacentral:rRNA from 1 species
GCCGGACCUGACUGCUAUCGGAUUGAUACUAAGCCAUGCGAGUCUUUGUAGUAAUACAAGGCAGACGGCUCAGUAACACGUAGUCAACCUACCCUAUGGACAAGAAUAAUCUCGGGAAACUGGGCAUAAUUCUUGAUAGAUCAUAAUGCCUGGAAUGGUUUAUGGUUAAAAUGAUUCGUCGCCAUAGGAUGGGACUGCGGCCUAUCAGCUUGUUGGUGAGGUAAUGGCCCACCAAGGCGAUUACAGGUACGGGCUCUGAGAGGAGAAGCCCGGAGAUGGGUACUGAGACACGGACCCAGGCCCUAUGGGGCGCAGCAGGCGAGAAAACUUUGCAAUGUGCGAAAGCACGACAAGGUUAAUCCGAGUGAUUUCUGCUAAAGAAAUCUUUUGCCAGUCAUAAAACCACUGGUGAAUAAGGGGUGGGCAAGUUCUGGUGUCAGCCGCCGCGGUAAAACCAGCACCUCAAGUGGUCAGGAUGAUUAUUGGGCCUAAAGCAUCCGUAGCCUGCUUUGUAAGUUUUCGGUUAAAUCCAUGUGCUCAACGCAUGGGCUGCCGAAAAUACUGCAUGGCUAGGGAGUGGGAGAGGUAGACGGUACUCAGUAGGAAGGGGUAAAAUCCUUUGAUCUAUUGAUGACCACCUGUGGCGAAGGCGGUCUACCAGAACACGUUCGACGGUGAGGGAUGAAAGCUGGGGAGCAAACCGGAUUAGAUACCCGGGUAGUCCCAGCUGUAAACGACGCAGACUCGAUGAUGCAUUGGCAUAAUAGCCAGUGCAGUGUCGCAGGGAAGCCGUUAAGUCUGCCGCCUGGGAAGUACGUACGCAAGUAUGAAACUUAAAGGAAUUGGCGGGGGA